UGGCAUAACGAAAUCAAGAGAGAAUAAAAUCAUCAUAAGCACAAAAGGUUUAAACAAUAAGUCACAGUAGUAAUGUCAUGAAACCCCUUGAUACAACAUCUUAAAGGCAAGAAACUAACCGAAAAAAUGACCUCUACCAUCUUCUUAAAGAACAAAAUUUUGGAAUUCACUUGAAACAAACAGUUGAUUCUGUCAUUUAAGAUAAGUAGAAGAAACCCAUAGAAGCACAUAAGUUACCAACGAUGUUGUCACUUCUAAACUCCUUGGCCCUUUGAGUAUUGGUGGGAUAACCGACACCAUCAAGAACGUUCCCAACAGCCAUGACACAGCAAACCAUACCCGUAAAGAAAAGCUCGGAGUUUGCUCUUGAGCCGGUCAUGUAUGAAAUAUAUUGUGGUAAACAGUGAUAUGGCAACCUGAAGGGUGGGUCCUUCUUCAGUUGGAAAGAGAACCGUAAGAGCUGCAAGUACCACAAAUGCGAUGGAUGUUUUGAUAAUGAAGUUAGUAGCCGGGGUUCUAAAUCUGCUUGUGACAGCCUGGACAACACGAGACUGGCUUACUUCCCUCAUCUUUUUCUUCACAUUGAUCUUGGGGUUUUUCCGUUCAUAGAACUUUUGCAUUAUUAUUUUGUCGUGUGCGGAUUCAAUUGCAUCAACGCUUGGUUUGUGACCGGCGUAUUUUUGAACUAAGAAGU
rnacentral:lncRNA from 1 species